UUAAGCGACUAAGCGUACACGGUGGAUGCCCUGGCAGUCAGAGGCGAUGAAGGACGUGCUAAUCUGCGAUAAGCGUCGGUAAGGUGAUAUGAACCGUUAUAACCGGCGAUUUCCGAAUGGGGAAACCCAGUGUGAUUCGUCACACUAUCAUUAACUGAAUCCAUAGGUUAAUGAGGCGAACCGGGGGAACUGAAACAUCUAAGUACCCCGAGGAAAAGAAAUCAACCGAGAUUCCCCCAGUAGCGGCGAGCGAACGGGGAGCAGCCCAGAGCCUGAAUCAGUGUGUGUGUUAGUGGAAGCGUCUGGAAAGGCGCGCGAUACAGGGUGACAGCCCCGUACACAAAAAUGCACAUGCUGUGAGCUCGAUGAGUAGGGCGGGACACGUGGUAUCCUGUCUGAAUAUGGGGGGACCAUCCUCCAAGGCUAAAUACUCCUGACUGACCGAUAGUGAACCAGUACCGUGAGGGAAAGGCGAAAAGAACCCCGGCGAGGGGAGUGAAAAAGAACCUGAAACCGUGUACGUACAAGCAGUGGGAGCACGCUUAGGCGUGUGACUGCGUACCUUUUGUAUAAUGGGUCAGCGACUUAUAUUCUGUAGCAAGGUUAACCGAAUAGGGGAGCCGAAGGGAAACCGAGUCUUAACUGGGCGUUAAGUUGCAGGGUAUAGACCCGAAACCCGGUGAUCUAGCCAUGGGCAGGUUGAAGGUUGGGUAACACUAACUGGAGGACCGAACCGACUAAUGUUGAAAAAUUAGCGGAUGACUUGUGGCUGGGGGUGAAAGGCCAAUCAAACCGGGAGAUAGCUGGUUCUCCCCGAAAGCUAUUUAGGUAGCGCCUCGUGAAUUCAUCUCCGGGGGUAGAGCACUGUUUCGGCAAGGGGGUCAUCCCGACUUACCAACCCGAUGCAAACUGCGAAUACCGGAGAAUGUUAUCACGGGAGACACACGGCGGGUGCUAACGUCCGUCGUGAAGAGGGAAACAACCCAGACCGCCAGCUAAGGUCCCAAAGUCAUGGUUAAGUGGGAAACGAUGUGGGAAGGCCCAGACAGCCAGGAUGUUGGCUUAGAAGCAGCCAUCAUUUAAAGAAAGCGUAAUAGCUCACUGGUCGAGUCGGCCUGCGCGGAAGAUGUAACGGGGCUAAACCAUGCACCGAAGCUGCGGCAGCGACGCUUAUGCGUUGUUGGGUAGGGGAGCGUUCUGUAAGCCUGCGAAGGUGUGCUGUGAGGCAUGCUGGAGGUAUCAGAAGUGCGAAUGCUGACAUAAGUAACGAUAAAGCGGGUGAAAAGCCCGCUCGCCGGAAGACCAAGGGUUCCUGUCCAACGUUAAUCGGGGCAGGGUGAGUCGACCCCUAAGGCGAGGCCGAAAGGCGUAGUCGAUGGGAAACAGGUUAAUAUUCCUGUACUUGGUGUUACUGCGAAGGGGGGACGGAGAAGGCUAUGUUGGCCGGGCGACGGUUGUCCCGGUUUAAGCGUGUAGGCUGGUUUUCCAGGCAAAUCCGGAAAAUCAAGGCUGAGGCGUGAUGACGAGGCACUACGGUGCUGAAGCAACAAAUGCCCUGCUUCCAGGAAAAGCCUCUAAGCAUCAGGUAACAUCAAAUCGUACCCCAAACCGACACAGGUGGUCAGGUAGAGAAUACCAAGGCGCUUGAGAGAACUCGGGUGAAGGAACUAGGCAAAAUGGUGCCGUAACUUCGGGAGAAGGCACGCUGAUAUGUAGGUGAAGCGACUUGCUCGUGGAGCUGAAAUCAGUCGAAGAUACCAGCUGGCUGCAACUGUUUAUUAAAAACACAGCACUGUGCAAACACGAAAGUGGACGUAUACGGUGUGACGCCUGCCCGGUGCCGGAAGGUUAAUUGAUGGGGUUAGCGCAAGCGAAGCUCUUGAUCGAAGCCCCGGUAAACGGCGGCCGUAACUAUAACGGUCCUAAGGUAGCGAAAUUCCUUGUCGGGUAAGUUCCGACCUGCACGAAUGGCGUAAUGAUGGCCAGGCUGUCUCCACCCGAGACUCAGUGAAAUUGAACUCGCUGUGAAGAUGCAGUGUACCCGCGGCAAGACGGAAAGACCCCGUGAACCUUUACUAUAGCUUGACACUGAACAUUGAGCCUUGAUGUGUAG
rnacentral:rRNA from 1 species